AUUGAACGCUGGCGGCAUGCCUUACACAUGCAAGUCGAACGGUAACAGGUCUUCGGAUGCUGACGAGUGGCGAACGGGUGAGUAAUACAUCGGAACGUGCCUAGUAGUGGGGGAUAACUACUCGAAAGAGUGGCUAAUACCGCAUGAGAUCUACGGAUGAAAGCAGGGGAUCGCAAGACCUUGUGCUACUAGAGCGGCCGAUGGCAGAUUAGGUAGAUGGUGGGAUAAAAGCUUACCAAGCCGACGAUCUGUAGCUGGUCUGAGAGGACGAUCAGCCACACUGGGACUGAGACACGGCUCAGACUCCUACGGGAGGCAGCAGUGGGGAAUUUUGGACAAUGGGCGCAAGCCUGAUCCAGCAAUGCCGCGUGCAGGAUGAAGGCCUUCGGGUUGUAAACUGCUUUUGUACGGAACGAAAAGCCCUGGGUUAAUACCCUGGGGUCAUGACGGUACCGUAAGAAUAAGCACCGGCUAACUACGUGCCAGCAGCCGCCGCAGUAA
rnacentral:rRNA from 1 species